rnacentral:tRNA from 1 species
GGAGGAUUCGCAUAGUGGCCUAGUGCGCUCGCUUGGAAAGCGGGUUGGGUGUUAAAGCCCUCAGGGGUUCGAAUCCCCUAUCCUCCGCAA